GGGGCAGCGGGGAGGAAGCUUGCUUUCUCCGCCGGCGACCGGCGCACGGGUGAGUAACACGUAUGCAACCUGCCCCUGUCAGGGGGACAACCCGCCGAAAGGCGGGCUAAACCCGCGUACAUGCCACCGGGGCAUCCCGGAGGCAGGAAAGGCUUCGGCCGGACAGGGAUGGGCAUGCGGCGCAUUAGGCAGUAGGCGGGGUAACGGCCCACCUAACCGACGAUGCGUAGGGGUUCUGAGAGGAAGGUCCCCCACACUGGUACUGAGACACGGACCAGACUCCUACGGGAGGCAGCAGUGAGGAAUAUUGGUCAAUGGUCGGGAGACUGAACCAGCCAAGCCGCGUGAGGGAGGAAGGUACAGAGUAUCGUAAACCUCUUUUGUCAGGGAACAAAGACUGGGACGCGUCCCCGGAUGAGUGUACCUGAAGAAAAAGCAUCGGCUAACUCCGUGCCAGCAGCCGCGGUAAUACGGAGGAUGCGAGCGUUAUCCGGAUUUAUUGGGUUUAAAGGGUGCGCAGGCGGUCUGUUAAGUCAGCGGUCAAAGCCCGGGGCUCAACCCCGGCCCGCCGUUGAAACUGGCAGUCUCGAGUUGGAGAGAAGUACGCGGAAUGCGCGGUGUAGCGGUGAAAUGCAUAGAUAUCGCGCAGAACUCCGAUUGCGAAGGCAGCAUGCCGGCUCCACACUGACGCUGAGGCACGAAAGCGUGGGUAUCGAACAGGAUUAGAUACCCUGGUAGUCCACGCAGUAAACGAUGAAUGCUGGCUGUCCGGGGGGACUGACCCCUGGGUGGCGAAGCGAAAGCGAUAAGCAUUCCACCUGGGGAGUACGCCGGCAACGGUGAAACUCAAAGGAAUUGACGGGGGCCCGCACAAGCGGAGGAACAUGUGGUUUAAUUCGAUGAUACGCGAGGAACCUUACCCGGGCUCAAACGGGGAGUGCCGCAGGCAGAGACGCCUGUUUCCCACGGGACACUCCCCGAGGUGCUGCAUGGUUGUCGUCAGCUCGUGCCGUGAGGUGUCGGCUUAAGUGCCAUAACGAGCGCAACCCCCGCGUGCAGUUGCUAACAGAUAACGCUGAGGACUCUGCACGGACUGCCGGCGCAAGCCGCGAGGAAGGCGGGGAUGACGUCAAAUCAGCACGGCCCUUACGUCCGGGGCGACACACGUGUUACAAUGGGUGGUACAGCGGGAAGCCAGGCGGCGACGCCGAGCGGAACCCGAAAUCCACUCUCAGUUCGGAUCGGAGUCUGCAACCCGACUCCGUGAAGCUGGAUUCGCUAGUAAUCG
rnacentral:rRNA from 1 species